rnacentral:rRNA from 1 species
UGCCAGCAGCCGCGGUAAGACGAAAGCCGCUAGCGUUGUUCGGAAUUACUGGGCGUAAAGCGGCGCGUAGGCGGCACGCCAAGUUAGAGGUGAAAUCCCGGCGCUUAACUCCGGAACUGCCUUUAAAACUGGUAAGCUAGAGGAUGUGAGAGGUGAGUGGAAUUCCGAGUGUAGAGGUGAAAUUCGUAGAUAUUCGGAGGAACACCAGUGGCGAAGGCGGCUCACUGGCUCGAUACUGACGCUGAGGUGCGAAAGCGUGGGGAGCAAACAGGAUUAGAUA